CUGAAUUUAAAUGGAACCACAAGAAAUCUGCAACACUGACGAACGACACACACCAUUUGCUUCUUGCAGGCCAUAGCAAGAAACAUGAACAGGAACAUCUGAGCUGCCUGGGAACAGGAUCAGCAUCAUGGGCUGUUCUACCAGGGAAGACGGUCACGAUGUGGAAGAUCACAGAAAGAGGUGCUCAGGCACUAAAUAUCACACACAUGCUGUUCAAUGUUAAUGACAUACAAAGUGAGCAGUGACAGCUAGAACACUUUUUGCAUCCUGUGAAUGUUGGAAAACAAAGCACAGACAUAUAAGAAAGCUGGCUGAGGAUGCAAGCCUUGAGUCCAAGUCUCUUUCAUCCAUACAGUACUUAAUUGAAGACUCUACAUUGGUUGCAGGACACAGAGAAAUCAUGCUGGAACUGGGCUGGAAGUUUCUUCCUUUCUGGCUUGCUUUCACGUUGUUGGGAGUGCUGUACAUGCCUCUGGUGGAUAAAAAUCUCCAAUAUUGAGCUAGAGACCCUGAGUGUUACAUUACUGACUGUGCCUAUGUGUGCAUUAGUGGCUGUGACAAGGUAGCCAACGGCUUUCUGAUUGGACUGACACUGAAGGAGUGAUUUCAUGUGCGGCCUAUGAUGGUUGUAUACAGUGGAAGAAACCUUUCAUGGUAAAAAGAGAGAAAGGAAGAGCACGGCACACUCCCAUCCGUUCAUCUCUUGAAUGUUCUGUCACCUCCCAACACUGUCAUGGGCAGGGGAUCAAGCCUCUAACACAUGUCCUUUCAGGAGAUGCUUUCCCAUAGUUGCAUUGUCUACUUAGACAGGUAGACCCAUCUUGCUUCUGAUGGUGAAGUGUUGCCUCCUGGCCUCUGUUACUUCAGACUGGAAUAUCCCAUGAGUCUACAGAAAAAGGUGAGCUUCUCAGUGAGGCCAGUGCUCUCAUCCCUGCCUUUGUGGCCCCCAAGUCAUGACAUAUUUCUUAUUGUCUCAGUGAAAGAGCUGUCCCCUUUCGAGUCCAUCAAAGAAUUUAGUCAUGCGCUGGGCUUCAGUUCUUACAGACCAUUACCCUGUGUCUGCCUCUCAGAGCCUCUUGACCUCUUCUUUGGUCCUGUCAAAAUGUCUCUACCUUUCAGCUCCAUUGCCUACAGGCUAGCGUUUUUACCUUAAACUUCAGGGAACUAUCUUAGUAGGACGGAAGUGACAUUAGAUCUUAAGGCAUUAAGUCCUCAGUUACAGGUUAGUGUUCUUGGUUCAAUAACCUCUCCCUUAUAUUAUGCCAUCCUGGCCUAGUGUGCUUAUCACUGACUUCAUUUUUUUCCGGGUCUUAUAAGCCACAUCUGUAGUUAUUUUCUUUUGUAAAUUAUUUUCCUAGUCGAGGUAAGAUUUGAUCUUUGUCUGACAACUUAGUAGCCUAGAAACCAUGAGGGAAUGUAGGGGUAUUCCACAAGGGAAGCAAAUAUGUCCUGUGAGUCAUUUACUUUAGGAUGGCUCCUAGUGGUCUCUAGGACAGGAGAGACUGCAACCCCAUAACAAAGGGGGAGAGAAUCAUUGUAUUUUUUAUUGGCAUAUAUUGUUUGCACAAAAUAAUGCUUUUUAUUGUGACAUUUUCAUGUACGUACACAAAGCACCUUAACCAUAUCCACCUCCCCUCAUCACUGUCUCUUGUUCCCCUGCCUCCUGAUGAUCACUCCCUCCCCAAACAGUCUACUUUAUGUCCUUUCUAAAGAUUUGUUUGUAAUUGUAAAUUAUGUGUAUGUGUGUAUCUCUGUGUGGGUGUGUGCAUGUGAGUGUAGAUGUCCACAGAGACUAAAGGCAACUGAUCUCUUGAAGCUGGAGU